UCCAGAACCAGAGAGGUUACAGGUCUAGAACCAGAGAGGUUACAUGUCCAGAACCAGAGAGGUUACAGGUCCAGAACCAGAGAGGUUACAGGUCUAGAACCAGAGAGGUUACAGGUCUAGAACCAGAGAGGUUACAUGUCCAGAACCAGAGAGGUUACAGGUCCAUAACCAGAGAGGUUACAGGUUCAGAACCAGAGAGGUUACAGGUCUAGAACCAGAGAGGUUACAGGUCCAGAACCAGAGAGGUUACAGGUCCAGAACCAGAGAGGUUACAAGUCCAGAACCAGAGAGGUUACAGGUCCAGAACCAGAAAGGUUACAGGUCAAGAACCAGAGACAACAGGCGGCCAAGAUAGCCUUUUAU